AUUCUCCCAGGGAGGGACCUGAAGAAUCAGACAGCUCCAUCUAUUUAGGGUUCCCCUGCACCUCCCUUGCUCCUCUGAAUCCGAUCAGCUCUGUAGAAAGCAACCAAGUUUCUUCUGUGAAGCCUCCCUACACCCAGCAUGGGAUCAAAGUAGUGAAACGGAGCCUAGCUGCCAUGAGAUGUUCCCGCCGUCUGCUUCUUCCUCCUUGUUCCUGUCUCUGCACACGUCUUAGCGUUCUUCCUUGUUCAUCUCUGUAGGGUGCAGAUGGGACCAUUGCCAUGAUCACCACCGUCAGAGUCCACUUACUGAACGCCUGCCCUGUGCUAACCACCACGUUUGCAACUUGACAUGAACUACGUCAUAUACUCCUCACAAAACCUAGCGAAGCAGAAGUAUCGCCCCGCUUUAAUGAUGGUGACACUGAGGCAAAGACAGUUUAACAGGCUGGCCAAAGCCCGCACAGAUGAGUGGGUCUUUGAACUGUAAGCUUCUCUCUUCUGAAGGGAAUUUAGAACCUUCAGAAAAAUUGUGACAGAGGCACAGGGUCUCCCUGAGUUGUCCAGGCUGGCCUUGAACUCGUGCUCCUCCUGGCUAACUGGGAUCACAGGCAUACACCGUAGCAUCUGGCUCAAUACCCUCCUUCCCACCACCGGGAAACUACUGUUCUCCACAGCUUUCUCCAACUGCCAGGAAUCUCAUCACUCCCAACCGUAUCUUUCUUGUGUCCUUUUCAGCAAGUGGAAGGGAGGCUUAGCAAAGUCUCAGCACCAGCUAUACUCUGAAGGCAGGGAAACCGUUUGCUUCUCUUUUUCCAACACUCAGCUUCGGUGUCUAAGCCACGGUCCAGUCCUUUGGAAGGAGCUGGGUAAUACGUUGUUAACUGGAAAACAAGCAAUCUUCACUUCCUGUCUCUUCAAGUCAGCAGUCCAGGGAUCAGGACCACAAACCUGUCUCUGGGACAGGCCCGAAGAGAUGGUGGCCUUUAGGUGGGCAGAGAAGAGAGCUGUCAGCGUCCAAGAAAGCCAAGGUCUGGGCAGCCUCCCAGAUGCCUAGGAGCUUUUCCUCUUGCAAUCCGUGCCCCAUGGGACACGUUCCUCCUCCUCAGGGUGGAUCAGACCGACUGACUCACCUCUAACACACUUUGGCCAGACCGAUGGCAUCAUGAAAGCCUACGAAGACACUCCAGGUCCAUCGCAGAGCUCCCUCCCCACGCGGCCUCUUAAAUCAUGUGUUCUCGGGGAAUUUAUCUACCCUGCCGUGAACAGCACCAUCAAAGGGUCACCUGGAAUGUAAACUAGUACAACCAUCGUGGGUGUUGGUAUGGGGAGGACUCGAAAAACUAAAAGCAGGUAUCUUCCCAAAAGAGUUAAAGUCACACAUUAUAGUAAUACAGGCAACCCAUGUAUAUAGCAGCAGAACCCAUAAUAGAUGAAUCUUGACAGUGGCCUAUGUGUCCAUCAGCAGACGAGUAGAUAAAGAAUAUGUGGUACUUAUACACAAUGGAGUUCUGCUCUGCCAUAAAGAAAGAUACACUUGAGUCAUUUAUACAAAAAUGGAUGGAUCUUCAGACCAUAAUGCUAGGUCUAAUAAAUCAGACACAGAGGGUUAAAUAUCACAUGGUUUCCCUUACAUGACACUCAGAGUAUAAAUAAUUUAAAGAGAAAAAUAAAGAGAGAUGGUGGGAAAUAAGGCAGUAGACUGCGUGGAGAUGGGAAGAGGGUCUUGAGUAAGAGAAAAGGGGAGGCAGGGAGGGAGGGAUUGAAAUGAUCAAGACGCGACGUGUACAUGUACCAACUCCCCAGAUAAACGGCAUUGUUGUUUAUCACAAACGUGUGAAUCAAAAAGGAAAUGCCCGUGUGAUGCGCAACUCCAGACUUGCAGCAGGCAGACGCACUGUGAGGAGCUCGUGACUCAGUCGUGACCUGGGCCACUGUCCUGGGUGCUUCUGCCUCAGCCUCAGGAGAGAUGCCAAGCUAGAAGGACCCCACUGAGCCCCCAGAUUCCUGACCCACAGAGAUGCAGGUUCAUGCGAGCUUGUUGUUUUAAACCCCAGGAUCUGAGAUAAGUUCCUACGAAGUAUAGAUGUCUAAUACAUUAAAUUAGUUUUCAUGAUGGUUUUUCUCUUCCUGUAAGAUUAUUCAUUUCCUUUGUUGGCUAAUCUGCCUGUUCUAUGUCGCUUAGAUGGCUACUUAUUUUAGACACACAUUACAGGCAGGACAGAAUGCUUUACCCAGCCAGAAAGAAAUGUCAACACAUCAAAUUACAAUCUAGUUUCCUAUGUUAUUGGUAUGAGAAGAAUAAUAAAUUUGACUUGUUCAAGUAGAAAGAAAUGGC
ensembl:lncRNA